UACAGAGGGUGCAAGCGUUAAUCGGAAUUACUGGACGUAAAGCGUGCGCAGACGGUUGCGUAAGUCAGAUGUGAAAGCCCCGGGCUCAACCUGGGAAUUGCAUUUGAGACUGCGUAGCUAGGGUGCGGAAGAGGGAAGCGGAAUUUCCGGUGUAGCGGUGAAAUGCGUAGAUAUCGGAAGGAACACCAGUGGCGAAAGCGGCUUCCUGGUCCAGCACCGACGUUCAGGCACGAAAGCGUGGGGAGCAAACAGG
rnacentral:rRNA from 1 species